AUUGAACGCUGGCGGCAGGCCUAACACAUGCAAGUCGAGCGGAUGAAGGGAGCUUGCUCCUGGAUUCAGCGGCGGACGGGUGAGUAAUGCCUAGGAAUCUGCCUUGUUGUGGGGGAUAACGUCCGGAAACUGGCGCUAAUACCGCAUACGUCCUGAGGGAGAAAGUGGGGGAUCUUAGGACCUCACGCUAUCAGAUGAGCCUAGGACGGAUUAGCUAGUUGGUGGGGUAAAGGCCUACCAAGGCGACGAUCCGUAACUGGUCUGAGAGGAUGAUCAGUCACACUGGAACUGAGACACGGUCCAGACUCCUACGGGAGGCAGCAGUGGGGAAUAUUGGACAAUGGGCGAAAGCCUGAUCCAGCCAUGCCGCGUGUGUGAAGAAGGUCUUCGGAUUGUAAAGCACUUUAAGUUGGGAGGAAGGGCAGUAAGUUAAUACCUUGCUGUUUUGACGUUACCAAAAGAAUAAGCACCGGCUAACUUCGUG
rnacentral:rRNA from 1 species